rnacentral:rRNA from 1 species
CCUAGUGAUGAUAGCGGAGAGGAAACACCCGUUCCCAUCCCGAACACGGAAGUUAAGCUCUCCAGCGCCGAUGGUAGUUGGGGCCAGCGCCCCUG